UACGGGGGGGGCAAGCGUUGUUCGGAAUUAUUGGGCGUAAAGGGCGCGUAGGCGGCUUUGCAAGUGACGGGUGAAAUCCCUCGGCUUAACCGAGGAACUGCCUGUCAAACUGCAUGGCUUGAGACCGGGAGAGGUGAGUGGAAUUCCCAGUGUAGCGGUGAAAUGCGUAGAUAUUGGGAGGAACACCAGUGGCGAAGGCGGCUCACUGGACCGGUACUGACGCUGAUGCGCGAAAGCGUGGGGAGCAAACAGG
rnacentral:rRNA from 1 species